AGAGUUUGAUCCUGGCUCAGAGCGAACGCUGGCGGAAUGCUUAACACAUGCAAGUCGCACGCCCCGGCAACGGGGAGUGGCGGACGGGUGAGGAACGCGUAGGAACAUGUCCAGAGGUGGGGGACAACCCUGGGAAACCGGGGCUAAUACCGCAUACGGCCCGAGGGCCAAAGCCGAAAGGCGCCUUUGGAGUGGCCUGCGUCCGAUUAGCUUGUUGGCGGGGUAACGGCCCACCAAGGCGACGAUCGGUAGCUGGUCUGAGAGGAUGGUCAGCCACACUGGGACUGAGACACGGCCCAGACUCCUACGGGAGGCAGCAGUGGGGAAUAUUGGGCAAUGGGCGCAAGCCUGACCCAGCAAUUCCGCGUGGGUGAAGAAGGUCUUCGGAUUGUAAAGCCCUUUCGGCGGGGACGAUGGUGACGGUACCCGCAGAAGAAGCCCCGGCUAACUUCGUGCCAGCAGCCGCGGUAAUACGAAGGGGGCUAGCGUUGCUCGGAAUCAUUGGGCGUAAAGGGCGCGUAGGCGGCGCAGCUAGUCAGGCGUGAAACCCCCGGGCUCAACCCGGGGACUGCGUUUGAUACGGCUGUGCUAGAGGAUGGAAGAGGGCCGCGGAAUUCCCAGUGUAGAGGUGAAAUUCGUAGAUAUUGGGAAGAACACCGGUGGCGAAGGCGGCGGCCUGGUCCAUUACUGACGCUGAGGCGCGACAGCGUGGGGAGCAAACAGGAUUAGAUACCCCCGUAGUCC
rnacentral:rRNA from 1 species